AGUGGCGGACGGGUGAUUAUCACGUGGGUAACCUGCCCUUAAGUGGGGGAUAACAUUUGGAAACAGAUGCUAAUACCGCAUAAAUCCAAGAACCGCAUGGUUCUUGGCUGAAAGAUGGCGUAAGCUAUCGCUUUUGGAUGGACCCGCGGCGUAUUAGCUAGUUGGUGAGGUAACGGCUCACCAAGGCAAUGAUACGUAGCCGAACUGAGAGGUUGAUCGGCCACAUUGGGACUGAGACACGGCCCAAACUCCUACGGGAGGCAGCAGUAGGGAAUCUUCCACAAUGGACGCAAGUCUGAUGGAGCAACGCCGCGUGAGUGAAGAAGGCUUUCGGGUCGUAAAACUCUGUUGUUGGAGAAGAAUGGUCGGCAGAGUAACUGUUGUCGGCGUGACGGUAUCCAACCAGAAAGCCACGGCUAACUACGUGCCAGCAGCCGCGGUAAUACGUAGGUGGCAAGCGUUAUCCGGAUUUAUUGGGCGUAAAGCGAGCGCAGGCGGUUUUUUAAGUCUGAUGUGAAAGCCCUCGGCUUAACCGAGGAAGUGCAUCGGAAACUGGRAAACUUGAGUGCAGAAGAGGACAGUGGAACUCCAUGUGUAGCGGUGAAAUGCGUAGAUAUAUGGAAGAACACCAGUGGCGAAGGCGGCUGUCUGGUCUGUAACUGACGCUGAGGCUCGAAAGCAUGGGUAGCGAACAGGAUUAGAUACCCUGGUAGUCCAUGCCGUAAACGAUGAAUGCUAGGUGUUGGAGGGUUUCCGCCCUUCAGUGCCGCAGCUAACGCAUUAAGCAUUCCGCCUGGGGAGUACGACCGCAAGGUUGAAACUCAAAGGAAUUGACGGGGGCCCGCACAAGCGGUGGAGCAUGUGGUUUAAUUCGAAGCAACGCGAAGAACCUUACCAGGUCUUGACAUCUUUUGAUCACCUGAGAGAUCAGGUUUCCCCUUCGGGGGCAAAAUGACAGGUGGUGCAUGGUUGUCGUCAGCUCGUGUCGUGAGAUGUUGGGUUAAGUCCCGCAACGAGCGCAACCCUUAUGACUAGUUGCCAGCAUUUAGUUGGGCACUCUAGUAAGACUGCCGGUGACAAACCGGAGGAAGGUGGGGAUGACGUCAAAUCAUCAUGCCCCUUAUGACCUGGGCUACACACGUGCUACAAUGGAUGGUACAACGAGUUGCGAGACCGCGAGGUCAAGCUAAUCUCUUAAAGCCAUUCUCAGUUCGGACUGUAGGCUGCAACUCGCCUACACGAAGUCGGAAUCGCUAGUAAUCGCGGAUCAGCACGCCGCGGUGAAUACGUUCCCGGGCCUUGUACACACCGCCCGUCACACCAUGAGAGUUUGUAACACCCGAAGCCGGUGGCGUAACCCUUU
rnacentral:rRNA from 2 species